UGGAGGGAGGCUCGCUCCAUCCCCGUUCCAUCCCGGCUCCUGCCGCCCCCUCCCCGCCGCUCCCCCCGCUCCGCACCCGCGGAGCCUCCGCGCACCUGGGGGAGUGCCGGCAUCGCAAUGCUUCCCCCGAGGAGGGAGAACUGAGCGUCCCUUUCCCGCACCCCCGGUUGUCUGUGACCGUUCCGUGUCCUGCUGCUGCUGCUGCUGCAGCCAAUGUGGAUCCGAAUGCUGUGGCUACAGAGGCUUCUUACUGUCUUAUGCUGGGUCCCUCAAAUCCAAGAGCUACUUGGCAGUUUCCAAGGCAACCACCUGUGGAAUAAUUAAAAAGGAUGAAGUUGUUAGCGUGCCAGAUAUAAGGAAUUCUUGCCUGGAGAGAGCGGUUCACUUUCCUCCGUCUUGAAGAAUCAAACAUGCUUCUGCCAGCAAAGUUAAGUAAAAGAAAGGGUGGCUGAGUUGCACAAGUGAACCAGGACGACGCAAAAUGUGCUGAUCUCAAGAGGGCAUCUUGCAUAUGCCAGAGGAAGAACGUCUUGUUUGAGGGAAAACCUGCUUAUAAAUCUGUGCAAAUUGAAAGAUUCUGAGGACAAACCUGUGAGUAAUGAAUUGUUACAGAACUACACAAAUAAAGCUGUGCAUGGUAGAGGCUGAUUUUUCUGUACAGCACAUCUGUGCCUCUCCUUGAUUGUUGUAAGUACCUUGGAGCCAUCAGGCCUUUCCUGCUCUAAGCUCUGAGGAGCUUUGAAAGUACAAAGGUAAAUGUGUGGUGUGCUUGCAUAAUGGGUAAAUUGGGUAUUUCACUAGUGGGAAAGAAUUGCCUUCAUUUGAGGGCUCUUUGCCUGUUCUAGAGCCAUGUUCCCCAGAUCUCUUCAACUCAUGGCACUUCUCAGUGCAGCUGAACAAAGCACAGAAAGGAAUGUGAUGUACUGUCAUCAGUGUAGGAAUCUUUUCAGUACCAAUUUGUCAUUAUUCUCCUCCCAGAUGACACAAAUGCUUUUUUUUUUUUCUUUGCUGUUUGUAUCAAGCCAUCACAGACCUUCUGAUGAUAUUAAAUUCCAAAGCUGUGGGGGCUUUGAUUGUUUCUUGCAUGUUGCUCCUUUUAAGAUGACAGAAUUGUUCAGUGAAAGAAAUUCAAAUUGAGAAAUUCAGGUAAACAGGCCUGUGGGGAAGGUUGAGCCUUGUGUAAAAAUCCAGUAAAACUUGAGUAAGAACCUUAGAGUUCAACGUAUUGAUUUUCUUGUGAAAGUUCAAGAACUGUGUUUCCUUGCAGGCUGAAACUCACCUCAACUCCUCAUGACCAGCUUAGCAAGAGAGAUGGGAUUUGAUGCUAUCCAAGGUGUAAUUCCACAGUUCAUGUCUUUUCCUAGUGCCAGCUUAAUCAGUUUCUGCCCACUCCCAGCCAUUCAUUUCCAGCUCAGCAGCAAUGCAGUGCCACCUCUUCCCUGACUGUGUGGAAAACCAGAUGACUGAAAAUAGCUCGGUCAAGAAAAGAAAUGCUUCAUUUUUUUUAUUUCGUGUUAGAAUCAUUUGAAUGAAUUUUACAGGCCACAGGCAGUCGUAUUGCUACUGCUGAAGGUGACAAGAAGUGCAGCAUCAGAGGCAGCAGUGAGCACUGGAGGGUGUCCCAGUGCUGUGUGAUCUUGCUGUCAACAAAAAUUUGCUCCGGGACCAUAUCCUGAAUGAAGGGCUUUCACUAGCCACAGGAUUAUUUAUUGAAGUGAUGCUUUCCAUUUGUUUUAUUAAGGAAGAUUAACAUCUUCUUGUUAGGGCAGGUUUAUUUUUUUUUACUUGAGGAGAUAAACCAUCUCUGUGAGAAGUCAGUCAGCUUUGUGGACACCCUGAAUGUCAAUAAAGUCUUGGCAAACACA